rnacentral:lncRNA from 1 species
GCGCGAGGCCCGCCGCCCUGCUUCUGACGUCACGCUUCUUGCAACAGGCAGCUGGGAAGAUCCCAGGCGAAAGGCGAUGGAUUGCUCGAGGGCAAAGGAAAGGAGCCUUACUCUGAAGAGUCUUCAAAAAUCUGAUUCUCCUGCUAUUUAUUCUGCUUUAAAAAUUCAAGGACAGAAUUCCAUGCUAGCUGUUAACCAGUCCCAUGUACUUUUCACAACCAGCAUGUAAGCCACUGGACAAAAAAUGGAAAACACUUCCAAGGAGAAAAAUCCAGGACAGAUACAACUACACGGAAAAGUGGGAGGAAUACCCCAAAAGAUUAAUUCC